rnacentral:rRNA from 1 species
UACGAAGGGGGCUAGCGUUGUUCGGAAUCACUGGGCGUAAAGGGCGCGUAGGCGGCCAUUCAAGUCAGGGGUGAAAGCCUGUGGCUCAACCACAGAAUUGCCUUUGAUACUGUUUGGCUAGAGACCGGAAGAGGUAAGUGGAACUGCGAGUGUAGAGGUGAAAUUCGUAGAUAUUCGCAAGAACACCAGUGGCGAAGGCGACUCACUGGACAUGUAUCGACGCUGAGGUGCGAAAGCGUGGGGAGCAA